UUAAAGAUGGAGAAGAAGGAUGACCUCCUCUCCCUUCCUUGCCCAUGCCUGCUACUCUUGUCACCACCCAUCUCGCUCUCGAUCUCCCUUCUGUCUCUCCCAUGAUGUAUUAGCAGCUAAUACUACUCUUGUUUGGCUCAAUUUGCUGU